rfam:Microbial mat metagenome hsmat10_BHWZ5594_g1, whole genome shotgun sequence.
UCCGUCGCGAGACGGAAUCUGAAGGAAGCGGAAGGCAAACUCCCGGCCCGAGGCACACGAACCGCAUACGAGGCGUCUGAUCGGUGGGCGAGGGGGCGCAUAGACCCAAAGCCCGAUGCCAUCCGGACCGGCCAGGCGUAUAUGCGGCGGGUAUGUGGGAGGAAAGUCGCGCGU